AGCAGAUAAGGAAAAGUGUCGUCUGGUCCACCCUAGAUGUCAUCACUGUAUGCUAAUGAGGCAGGGGGGUCCUUUAAGUGUCGGAGAGCAACAUCGAGACCAGUUAGAAGAUCAUGAAGCAGGCGUUAACACGUGAGGGAAAGCUACGACUGCAUGCAAAGAGAUCACAAACACAGCAAGACCUCGCUGCUCUCGGUUUUAUCUUGUGCCCUGGACAGGAUAUCAUCUUAUACUGUAAGUUUAAUAAAGAGACACUACAGUAUAGAUGAUGUACUAUCCAGGGUUUCAUUCCCCCUCCGACGCUAUCAGCCACACUCAGACCUAACUGACUGAAGACUGAACACGCUGCAGAGGAGGGCCGUCAAACCGUUACCAUUACUGAGUUUUAGUAAUGGUAAGGGUUAUACGGCCUUCGCUCAAUGUCAUCUAGACGAGGAAGGAAAAGGAGAAGCUGGUGGCUGCUGUGUUAUUCAUGAGCUUCUGGAGGACAUGUUUUGAUUCCAGUUUUGAGAUGCAUGUAAAAUAAAGCUUACAGUUCUAAAA